AACACCAAACACUGACUUCCCCCAAAAGCCUGAGAGGGAAUAAGAGAGGCCUGGGGAGCCCAGCUGUGCUGUGGGCCCGGGAGGAAGAGCUCUGGGUGUCUCACGAUGGCCUGGACUUCCCUCCUGCUCCCUCUCCUCACUCUCUGCACAGGCUCUGAGGCCUCCUAUGAGCUGACACAGCCACCCUCCGUGUCAGUGUCACCAGGACAGACGGCCAGGAUCACUUGCUCUGGAGAUGCAUUGCCAAAAAAAUAUGCUUCUUGGUACCAGCAGAAGCCAGGCCAGAUCCCUGUGCUGGUGAUAUAUAAAGACAGCGAGAGACCCUCAGGGAUCCCUGAGCGAUUCUCUGGCUCCAGCUCGGGGACAACUGCCACCUUGACCAUCAGUGGGGCCCAGGCAGAGGAUGAGGCUGACUAUUACUGUGGCUCCUGGGACAGCAGUGGUACACAUCCCACAGUGGCACAGGCAGAUGGGGAAGUGAGACAGAAACCCCUUCCCUCUCUGUGUCACCCUCUCUUUCCAGCCCCAGCAGGACUGUGAACAAAGCCAUAAGCA